AGAUGGCGUUGUGGGCACGGAGGCCCCGCUGCCUUGUGGGUUUCCACCAAGGGCACCAAAAAUAAUCUGAUGUCAGAUGAUACUAGUGAUUCACCCUUCUACUAUCAGCAGUAUCCAAGAACAAGAGGCUUCAAAAAUAGCAACUGCAUCAAAAGUUUGCUUUGUUCCUGUAUUUGUGUUUUGCUCUGUGAUCCUUCCCAUACGA